rnacentral:rRNA from 1 species
CUGCUGCCUCCCGUAGGAGUUUGGACCGUGUCUCAGUUCCAAUGUGGGGGACCUUCCUCUCAGAACCCCUACUGAUCGUCGCCCCGGUGGGCCGUUACCCCGCCGGCAAGCUAAUCAGACGCAUCCCCAUCCUUUACCGGCCGAAGCCUUUGGUCAUGAAAAUAUGCAUCAACAUGACAACAUACGGUAUUAAUCCGCCUUUCGACGGGCUGUCCCAUAGUAAAGGGCAGGUUGGAUACGCGUUACUCACCCGUGCGCCGGUCGCCAUCG